GAAAAAGAGCCUAGAGGAACAUUUGCUCGAGAAAAACCUGUGUCCGAAAAACAGGGCACAAGAUAAUGUAGACUGUUAUGGUUUCCAUCUAGGCAUCAAUGUUCUGGAACACUGCCAACUGCAAGACCUGCUAUGCGCUGAUAGGAAACAUUUAAAGGACCACUAUAGUGUCAGGAAAACAAACUCGUUUUCCUGACACUAUAUAAUCCUUAGGUCCCCCUCACCCUCAGGCCCCCGGUCCCGCUGGGACUUACCUUUCCCAUUUACCUUUAUCCAGCGACGGGCUCCCUCGGUGGUGGUGACCUCUCCUCCCCCUCCGACGUCAGCUCCCAAUUGGAGCCGAAUGCGCGUCCAGAGCUGUGCACGCAU